rnacentral:rRNA from 1 species
UACGAAGGGGGCUAGCGUUGCUCGGAAUUACUGGGCGUAAAGGGCGCGUAGGCGGACAGUUUAGUCAGAGGUAAAAGCCCAGGGCUCAACCUUGGAACUGCCUUCGAUACUGGCGAUCUUGAGUCCGGAAGAGGUGAGUGGAACUCCUAGUGUAGAGGUGGAAUUCGUAGAUAUUAGGAAGAACACCAGUGGCGAAGGCGGCUCACUGGUCCGGUACUGACGCUGAGGUGCGAAAGCGUGGGGAGCAAACAGG